CUCAUUGAUAAAAGGAGCCAGCCAUCCCUAGAGGCUAGAACUUCAGCCCCACCCUGGACCUCUGGGGGUGGCCAGGGAGCUGGAGGUUGAAUCAAUCGCCAAUGUUGGUGAUUUCAGCAAUCUGCCUGAAGUCAGUAAUACAUGCCACUGAGGAUGGAGCCUUGACUGCUGACCCUGAUCAUUCUGAGAGGACUUCAGCUCACGUAACAUAUUGACACGGCACCCGGGGUCUCCGGUCAAUGCUGUCAAAUUAACAGGAGCCACUAAGACAUAUCAGCUGGCAGAUGUCCUACUCCAUCCAGCCCUGCUGGGAACCCCCUUGCGUGCCGUUUCCUCCAGGGUGAGAGGCACCCUCCCCUGCGCUCUGAAGCCGCCAUGUUCGUCUUUGGCCCAACAUGCGUCACGUCCUACCAUGAGCACCAUUUGUGGUCGUUAAGGUUUUGGUUUUUGUUGUGUUGUUUUUAGUCUACAUCAUCUGUGUCCAGCCAAGUCCUCAGCAGAGAAGGCCCUCAAGUUACCUGUUGAGGGAAUAAAGAGGGCACCAAAGAAAACAAGAAACAUCUAUCCGUACAAUUCUACUUUCUUAAGGAAUCCAACCAGUUGUCUUCCUUUCCCGUCUCAGCCUUUGUACUUAAAGUAAUCAAAAUUUCACAGUAGCUUAGCAUCGGCACAAAUGCAUUGACUCUUAAAACAAUUUUUCCUGUUUUUCUUUUUUUUUUU